rnacentral:rRNA from 1 species
CGAACGGGUGCGUAACACGUGAGGAACCUGCCCCGGUCUCUGGAAUAACAGUGGGAAACCACUGCUAAUACCGGAUAUCUCCUCGGAACCGCAUGGCUCUGAGAAGAAAGGGUUACCGGAUCGGGAGGGUCUCGCGGCCUAUCAGCUAGUUGGUGGGGUAAUGGCCUACCAAGGCUCCGACGGGUAGCUGGUCUGAGAGGACGAUCAGCCACACUGGGACUGAGACACGGCCCAG